rnacentral:rRNA from 1 species
UUUAUGGAGAGUUUGAUCCUGGCUCAGAGUGAACGCUGGCGGCGUGGUUUAGGCAUGCAAGUCGAGCGAACUUAGAUUGACUUGAGUGGCCGUAAGGCUGCGAGAGUUGGUCUAAGUUAGCGGCGAACGGGUGAGUAAUACGUGGGUAACCUACCUUCGAAACCGGGAUAACACUUGGAAACGGGUGCUAAUACCGGAUAAGACCACAUCACCGCAUGGUGAUGAGAGAAAAGAUGGGGAGCCGUAAGGUCCUGUCAUUCGGAGAUGGGCCCGCGUCCUAUCAGCUAGUUGGUGGGGUAAUGGCCUACCAAGGCUUUUGACGGGUAGCUGGACUGAGAGGUCGGUCAGCCACACUGGGACUGAGACACUGCCCAGACUCCUACGGGAGGCUGCAGUCGAGAAUCUUUUGCAAUGGGCGAAAGCCUGACAAUGCGACGCCGCGUGAGGGAUGAAGGUUUUCGGAUCGUAAACCUCUGUCAAGAGGGAUGAUGCUUAUUCGGAUCAAUACCCCGAAUAAGUGACAGUACCUUUAAAGGAAGCCACGGCUAACUCC